ACAACCGAAAAUAUUAUUCUUUUCCUCCAAACACAAACAACGACGCCAGAAAGAAUACCAGCAUCUACACAUCAGACUUCGAUGGAGGUUUUCCUCUAGACCUCUGCCAUUUCUCUAGAUUAGGAAUAACACCGUUUUUAAUGCCAUAGCCUGGUUUUCACGUUAACUACGAGUAGGAAGUCUGUUUCGUAAUUUCCGUUCCAUGUAGCUAUGCAGCUUUCUGUUGUGGAUUGAAGAAGAGCCAAUUUAUAAAAGGGACCACCCCCAAAUACUCGCAGUAAUGUAGACGAUUUAUCAUUUACGGAUUUCAAUUUAGGUCCCAUAUUUGAGAUUCUGGGUGAGUGGCAUAACAGUUUCGUCGCAUACUCGCUCAUGCAUCAUGCAUACAUAGAUAGUUCAUAGU
rnacentral:sRNA from 1 species